CUCUGACUAAAUUAGAAAUUUUCCAAAAAUGUUUUUAUUUUGCAUUAUACACUGUGUUAACUGUUAUUUACUGAACCUUAUACUUUUCAAAUUUUAAUGGAGGUUUCAAUAUUUAAAAUUACAUUAUGUUUUCAGAGUUCUCGAGGUUAAGUAAUUUUUCUUUCCUCCUUUUUUCUGUUGUGUGAGACAUCAGCCUCCAUUCAAAUGUACAAUGAAAAUAAGAAAAGUUGUAAUAUACAGUGGGACCUCGGUUUACAAAUUUAAUGCCUUUUCCGGGACAUUUCUUAUUGCGAAAAUUUUGUAAACCGAAACGUGGGUUCCCAUAGGAAUGCAUUACAAAAAACUAUUAAUCUGUUCUUGAGGUCAGAAAAAAGUCAAAAUGAGCUGGCAUGGAAUCCAACGCACAAUGCAGAACACACAAUAAAAGGAAUGCAAACGAUGAAGCUCAGUUCCUUACCUUUCCAUAGAUUGAGAAAUGCACCAAAAAGUCCCAAAACAACUUUAAACAAUUUCCAGAAUGGCUCCAAAACUCGAUGCAAAAGCUGCUCCAACACCUCCACACUCGACGCCACGUGCUACCCUCACGCUCCAGCAUGCAGGGGGCGGUGCUAUAAACCUCCCAGGUGCAAUGCAUCCUGGGGAAAUUUGCUUUGUAUUGCAAAAAAAAAAUUGUAAACCGAAGCAUUAUUUUCAAUGGAUUUUCAUUUGAUAACCGAAAAUUAUGUUAACCGAGGCGUUUGUAAACCGAGGUCCCACUGUACAUUAAAAUUUU